UAAGGAAUAUUGGUCAAUGGGCGCAAGCCUGAACCAGCCAUGCCGCGUGCAGGAUGAAGGCUCUAUGGGUCGUAAACUGCUUUUAUACGGGAAGAAACCCCUCCACGUGUGGAGGGUUGACGGUACUGUAAGAAUAAGGAUCGGCUAACUCCGUGCCAGCAGCCGCGGUAAUACGGAGGAUCCAAGCGUUAUCCGGAUUUAUUGGGUUUAAAGGGUGCGUAGGCGGACUUGUAAGUCAGUGGUGAAAGCCCGCAGCUUAACUGUGGAACUGCCAUUGAUACUGCUAGUCUUGAGUAUAGUUGAGGUGGGCGGAAUGUGUCAUGUAGCGGUGAAAUGCUUAGAUAUGACACAGAACACCGAUUGCGAAGGCAGCUCGCUAAACUAUAACUGACGCUGAGGCACGAAAGUGUGGGUAGCAAACAGG
rnacentral:rRNA from 1 species